UUUUUGCUUGUGUUAUUGUCCAAACCAAUUCUAAGUUUGGAUGUUUUUAUUCAGGCAGUGAACAGCAAUGGCAUUGUGAAGAGAUUACGAUCUCCCAAGUAUUUUGCAUCGGAUAUUUUGAAAGCGAUACCGAUGGUUAAAUAAACACAGAUGCAUAUCGUAUCCAUCAGUUCUCAUUAUGGAGAGCGCAGUUUUGGGUUGAACAUUAGUUAGAUGGUCCGAACCUUGACAACCACUCCAACCUCUUCUUGAAUGUCUUUACUUGGGAGCUCGACACUAACUGCCUCAUUCUCAUUCCUGUUUGUGUAGUUAGCUUUUUGCUCCUCUUUCCCACAGCUCACUUCGUUACUCUAUAGGCCAGAUGUAUGGUGGUUCCGUGGUUGUGAUGGACAAAAAGCCCCAAAAAGUCAAUUUGCGACUGGUCAUGAUUAGUGGGAGGCGGGCUGGGUGGCAGACAAGCUGUGGGAAAUUAUGUUCUCCUCCGCUGCUGAAAUGGCUGCAAGCCAGUGCACUCCACAGAGACAGAGAGAGAGAGAGAGAGAGAGAGAGGACACAACCCGGACGAAAACAGCAUAGUCUGGUCUCUCUUGAACAGGACACGAUUUCACACAGGAAACGGGCGAAGUGUCUUUCUGUUGCUCACUUGCGUGCCUGCGAUCUGGCUGACCUGCUCAAUCAGUCCCUCACUCCCUUCUUGUCAGUCUCUCCAAUGCACUCUUCCUCCACUGGGGUCGGAUUUGGAAGGCAAAUAAUGUCUGGCAUGGCAGAAAUGUUUUGGCUGUUGUGGGUCUUCAUUCAUGAAGCAAAGCAUUCUGGGGCAAGGGAAAAUCGGGGGAGGAAAUAAUUAACUUGAGUGAGGACUGAUAUACAUACAUACAUACAUACAUACAUACAUACAUACAUACAUACAUACCACACGCUUUGCCUGUGGACUACAAAAUUCCCGUUUGGUACUAAAUAUUAUAUAUUCUUAUUAUCAUAAAUCUCAGUAUGGAUUUAGCCAUACAGCAGGUAAACAGGGGUUUCAAACCCUCAGCGUCCCACUGAGCUCUGGCUUAAGUCACAGAUCCCGGUGCUUGAUUCAAAGUACCGAGACGAUCAUCUCGAUG
ensembl:lncRNA